rnacentral:lncRNA from 1 species
UUUUUUAAAAAAGAUUCUAUUUAUUUAUUCAUUAGAGACACACAGAAAGAGGCAGAGACAUAGGCAGAGGGAGAGGUAGGCUCUCCACAGGGAGCCUGAUGAAGGACUUGAUCACAAGACCCCAGGAUCACGACCUGAGCCAAAGGCAGACGCUCAACCACCAAGCCACCCAGGCUCCCCUGCUUCUCAAUCUUUAUUCUUUUAUUCUUCUCUUGCUUUGCUAUAAUCUCUGGUGGGGGGAGCAGGUAUCCUCUCUAUUGGGUGGCAAGAAUGCAAAGUCUAACCUUGAGCCAAUGAUGAAGUCAAGUACCAAAGUCAAUUUCACUGGCUCACUUGGGGUUUGAGGCAUCCCUGAAACAAAAAAGGUAAGAUAUUUUUCAUUAUUUAUUGAUCUAAUGUCCUUCAUACAGCUAGACUAAUAAAAUCAGCAGUUUAAAGACUAAUUUCAUAUAGUAUCUUAAGAUUAUAUGGUUUUGAUGAUAAUCUUUAUUAACAUAAUGAUCCUAUGGGAAACUUUUCUAGGUAAAGAUUAUAUCAUUUAAAUCUUUGUUUUAUGUUAAGGGGAAUUUGUGAUUAGUGUUGAUACUCUAUCACAGUUCCCUCUGAUUUUUUCCUAGGUUAAAGCACUUAAAUAGUUGAUAAAAUAUCAUUUGUUCCUACACAGUGCUUGUAGACAGUAUUUUGGCUGAUUUCAGGGUUGAAUUAUUUCUCCUGAAAUCAUUUGACAAAAAGGACCAGCAAUUUGCUGAUAACUUUUCUUAUAAACGACUGCACAGUCAAGGCAUAAUAAUACAUUGAUUAUACAAUGGAGUAACAGGAAUGAGAUAAUAGUGCUUCUUAUGUGAUAACUUAAAACAAUUUCUCCAUUUUGGGGGCUCAUACGGCUGAAGAUUAAUUUUAGUUUUUUUUUUAAGGUAUGAUUUUUAAGAAGAAAAAAAGGCUGUUAGGUUGAUUUGUUUUCUUUCAAACAGUCUUACUAGCUUCAAUUUCUGGAACUUAACUCCUUGAAGACAGCAACAUUGCACUUGAUAAUAUUUUGCUCAUUCAUCUAUAGGAUGUUUGUUCAGUUGAGAAAUGAAAAUGGGUCUCAGUAUAUCACAUAGAAUGAAUUUGUUCUAAGUGGCAGAAAAAGUGUUUCCGGGUCAAGACAGGACAUUAGUUCAAGGUCCUGUGAAAGUUGAUGCUUACUCGGAUGCAUGGACACCAUGGUCUACGGAAAUUUGCACAUUAGGGACUUUCCUGAAGUUUCAUUUCCUCCCUCGCCCCCACAACCUAUGUUAUUAGUUUCAUGUAAUAGGAAAGAGGAAAUAUGCAAAGGCACAGACACUAUUCUGAAUUAGGGGACCAAUUUUUUCGCCGUGUUUAUGAUGAAAAUUAGUUUAUGUACAGUGUGCUUUAAUGUAUAAAGGGACACACUGGGGUUAAGUGCUCAGCAAAACAAAACAAAAAAAAACAAAACAAAACAAAAAACCUUUCUGGAAAUGAUUAGAAUAGAAUGCAAAUGCUGUUUUAUAGAUCUGGUUUCCUGGCAUUUUGAGGCAAAUGCUAGUAUAUUUGGUACUUUUGUUUUAGAAACAAAAGUAAACUGUAGGGAAUUUACCAAAAGCCUGCCACCUUUUAAAGCCAAACUGAGCAAGAAGACCAAAUUGCUGCUUUAUUCACAGUUUGGUCUUCUUGUGGUGGUGGUAGUCCUCUGCUCCCCUUGUUUGUUUUGCUUUAUGUUGGAUGCCAACAGAGAUCAAAACUACAUUUAAUGGACUUAUAGUUUGGCAAUAUGCUGGCAAAUGGGAAAACAAGCAGCAUAAACCAAAUUUCUGCCACAAUGCUUUUAAUAUUGAGACAGAUUUUUAUCUAACAGAGCCAACAGAAUGGAACAUGAGAGCACCAGCAGCUCAGGGCUGUAAACACAGCUUCCCGAUGACACAUCCCUAGGGGUACAGAUCAUACAGUUUCUAUAUUAUUCGGCUUGUCACUCUACUGGCACAGAACUGAUUUUUGCCUCAGAAAAUGUCUCUUUCCUGAAACUCCAGCUGUCCUUCAUUCAUAAAGCGGCGUUUUAAUAAGGUGGUUGUUUACUAGGGAAACAAUGCUAAUGUUAAUAAUGAAUCACUAACCAUCUAGCAUAUUCCUUAUCGUAGAUGGUCUACUCGCUGCCAAACAGCUGGAGGAAAAGUGAGGAAAAAUGCAAUCAAGCAUUUAAACAUCAUAGCUAGAUGUUUCCAAACAUAAGUGUCCAGAUGUUUAGCAUUGUGGAGGUAAUGUGUUUGAUUGCUUGCCUUUUUCAUAUUUUAUCUGGAUCUUUUGAUGUUCUGUAGAUAGAGUCAUGACUAUUCUUCAUUUUCAGUAUGCUGAGCAGUUUUGCUUGUCAUGAAUAGCAAUAGUAAUGCUGAAGACUGGCAGAGGCCAAGCCUGGCAGGGAUUGCUCGAGAGGAGGGAGAAGAGGAAGAAAUGAGACUCAGACUAUGGUUAAAUGGGUCCCUCUCCUGGCUAAUGUGUAUGGAAGCAUGUGCCUUUUAAAAGACAUGGGCUGAGUCCGUUUUCAUCCUUCGAUUAAGGAGAAACUAGGAAUUAAGAAGUUGGAUGUGGGGUUAGAUGCUCUUGUUUUCCUUGAGCCCCAGAGGCUGAAUAACCAGGUCCUUUUUAGGGAUACCCACUUCCAAGGAAGGAUGCUGUUUUAUGCUGUACAGGCUUAAAAGGAAUCUGGUUCAGCUAAACUGUUAAGUAGAGUUGUUGUCUCCCUUAGACUGAUGCCUCAUCAGACAAAAUAACAAACCUAAAGUAAACAAAAUGAAGCACUUUCUCCUUUUAGGAUCUCAGAGAACCCAACCCAAAUCAAUUUAUGCUUCCUACUGCAGACUUCUGCAACAUUGGGUUAUCGGUACUUAUAAUUAGACUCAUUUUGCUAAAUGCUCCACUAAAUUAAAACCCCUGCAAAUUAAUUAUCUCAUCAAAGGUGGCUCAGUUUCAGAACUGGAUUCAAAGAUGCUGGUGCUAAAAUAGAUGCAACUCCCUCCUAAGAGUGAAAGAAAAAAAAAAAAAGUCGUUUACUGACAUGUCCCUGCAGGAAUCAAUAAUAUUACAGAUCAUGGAGAAGCCAAGAAUAGCCAGGGCAUAUUAAUAACUCAGUCUGUUCACUGAUUUUAUUCAAGAUGACUGGUUAAAGAAUGCUGCACUGAUGAUGACUCCAUGGCAUGAGGAACAAUGUCAUCAUUAACAUGUGGACCUUUUAGCAUUUAGAACAUUUCACACAAAGAGAACUUAACACAAGAGUAUUUAUCGUGCUUUAGACAGAUGGUUUCAUGUUUUUUUUAGCCUUCAGCCUAUCAGGCCACCCAUGGCUUUCUUCAGCCAAGAGCUUUUAAAAAAUAAUUGGUCUAUAGCAAUAUUCUAACAAGACUGACUGCAGUAUAUUUCCCUAAAUCUUUUUCCUACCCUUAACUAUCCCUUGUAGUGGUUUGUGGUUGACAAACCUCCCUGACUGACACCGAUUCUUCACAUACAAGUAAUUACUGACUCCUUUUAGGAGAUGAAGGGGCUGGAAUUUCAUCAUUAAUGGUUUCUUUGCUACGGAAAAGCUAUUUAGAAAUGAUUACUUUGGAAAACAGUUCUUCCCUGAUUAGACACUGCCUGACUCUGGAGAAGCUGUUCCCCUAGAAUCUUUCAAUACAGGAAAUGAUACCCCAACAUAGAUGGGUAACUGUGGGUGGCAAAAGAUGCAUAUAAGCGUUGGUUUAAAAAUGGUAGAGAAGAGUAAUUGUAUCUCUGUCUGAGGAAUAUGUAAAUGUGUUUAGGAAGUGAUACAGAGGCUGCAAAUUCCCUGUUCCUACCAUCAAAGUGGAAUUCAAGCACAGUGGAAAAAAGCAAGUGGGAUGCAUCCUUCUAGUGCAAACUUCUAUGGGGAUAUUCAUGACCCCCUGCACUGCUCUGGCCACUGUUCAGCUCCCCAGGAUCUUCUGUGAGCUCUUUUAGGGGAACAACAUGACCCAAAACCCAGAGACUCUGCAGACUGGCUCGGAUGGAUGCUUAUUUGCACAUUCCUCUCUGUGUAACCUCUGUGAUCGGGUUCAGAAGAAGCAAGCUUAGGCCUGGAGCACAGAAAAGCGAUUACACAGCAGAGAGGGUUUAGUGAUUAGAUAUAUUUAGGAGGGCAAGUAUCUCCUGACUGCCUACUCAGGAGGGCAUGAGGGGCUGCAAGUAUCAGUGCAGAACCUCCUGUUGGCUUUUUUCUCUUUGAGGAACAAAGAU